CGCUUCGUAGCUCAGCGGAUAGAGCGCCUUUCGCGUUGAGGCGUGGUAUUUCUGUUGCUGGUUCGACUCCAGCCGAAGCCC
rnacentral:tRNA from 1 species